rnacentral:rRNA from 1 species
UUUUGGACAAUGGGCGAAAGCCUGAUCCAGCAAUGCCGCGUGUGUGAAGAAGGCCUUCGGGUUGUAAACCUCUUUUGCCGGGGAGCAAGAGGCGCCACGCGUGGCGCCGUGAGAGUACCCGGAGAAAAAGCAUCGGCUAACUACGUGCCAGCAGCCGCGGUAAUACGUAGGGUGCAAGCGUUAAUCGGAAUUACUGGGCGUAAAGCGUGCGCAGGCGGUCCGCUAAGACAGAUGUGAAAUCCCCGGGCUUAACCUGGGAACUGCAUUUGUGACUGGCGGGCUAGAGUAUGGCAGAGGGGGGUAGAAUUCCACGUGUAGCAGUGAAAUGCGUAGAGAUGUGGAGGAAUACCGAUGGCGAAGGCAGCCCCCUGGGCCAAUACUGACGCUCAUGCACGAAAGCGUGGGGAGCAAA